CGUGAACCUUUACUAUAGCUUGACACUGAACAUUGAGCCUUGAUGUGUAGGAUAGGUGGGAGGCUUUGAAGUGUGGACGCCAGUCUGCAUGGAGCCGACCUUGAAAUACCACCCUUUAAUGUUUGAUGUUCUAACGUGGGCCCCUUACCGGGGUUGCGGACAGUGUCUGGUGGGUAGUUUGACUGGGGCGGUCUCCUCCUAAAGAGUAACGGAGGAGCACGAAGGUUGGCUAAUCCUGGUCGGACAUCAGGAGGUUAGUGCAAUGGCAUAAGCCAGCUUGACUGCGAGCGUGACGGCGCGAGCAGGUGCGAAAGCAGGUCAUAGUGAUCCGGUGGUUCUGAAUGGAAGGGCCAUCGCUCAACGGAUAAAAGGUACUCCGGGGAUAACAGGCUGAUACCGCCCAAGAGUUCAUAUCGACGGCGGUGUUUGGCACCUCGAUGUCGGCUCAUCACAUCCUGGGGCUGAAGUAGGUCCCAAGGGUAUGGCUGUUCGCCAUUUAAAGUGGUACGCGAGCUGGGUUUAGAACGUCGUGAGACAGUUCGGUCCCUAUCUGCCGUGGGCGCUGGAGAACUGAGGGGGGCUGCUCCUAGUACGAGAGGACCGGAGUGGACGCAUCACUGGUGUUCGGGUUGUCAUGCCAAUGGCACUGCCCGGUAGCUAAAUGCGGAAGAGAUAAGUGCUGAAAGCAUCUAAGCACGAAACUUGCCCCGAGAUGAGUUCUCCCUGACUCCUUGAGAGUCCUGAAGGAACGUUGAAGACGACGACGUUGAUAGGCCGGGUGUGUAAGCGCAGCGAUGCGUUGAGCUAACCGGUACUAAUGAACCGUGAGGCUUAACCUU
rnacentral:rRNA from 1 species